rfam:Solibacillus silvestris StLB046 DNA, complete genome.
GAACGCCGUAUGCAGUGAAAGUUGCAUGUACGGUGUAGGCUCUAAACGAAAGCUAUUUUUUAAAUAGUAUAAGUGGAGAAUAGCCAAGAAGAAAGUGAAGUAACAGGGACUUUUAC